GGGGGGGGGGGGGGGGGGGGGGAGGGGGGGGGGGGCGGGCGAGCGGGCGGGAAGCGUGCGUCUCGGAUGUUAGCGGGGGACGGGUGAGUAACGCGGGGAUAGCCGACCUAUAAGACGGGGAGCACUUCGGGAAGCCGGGGCUAAUACCGGAUGAUAUUUUGACCCGCAUGGUUCAAAAGUGAAAGACGGUCUUUCUGUCACUUAUCGAUGUAUCCGCUCUGCAUUAGCGAGUUGGUAAGGUAACGGCUUACCAAGGCAACGAUGCAUAGCCGACCUGAGAGGGUGAUCGGCCCCACUGGAACUGAGACACGGUCCAGACUCCUACGGGAGGCAGCAGUAGGGAAUCUUCCGCAAUGGGCGAAAGCCUGACGGAGCAACGCCGCGUGAGUGAUGAAGGUCUUCGGAUCGUAAAACUCUGUUAUUAGGGAAGAACAUAUGUGUAAGUAACUGUGCACAUCUUGACGGUACCUAAUCAGAAAGCCACGGCUAACUACGUG
rnacentral:rRNA from 1 species